GCCUAAUUCGAAACCAAAGCGCGGGACGGAUGAAAGUACGGGUCGCGAGAGGUUGUUCGCGCCUUGAGAGUUAAGCGAAGUGUGGUGGCUUCCAAGAAUACAAACAUAAAGGCCUUCGACCGUUGCAAAUAGACUAAAGUGAAAACAAAUCUGAAUGAAGAUGAAGUUAUUUCAGACCAUUUGCAGGCAGCUCAGGAGUUCAAAGUUUUCUGUGGAAUCAGCUGCCCUUGUGGCUUUCUCUACUUCCUCUUACUCAUGUGGCCGGAAGAAAAAAGUGAACCCAUAUGAAGAAGUGGACCAAGAAAAAUACUCUAAUUUAGUUCAGUCUGUCUUGUCAUCCAGAGGCGUCGCCCAGACCCCGGGAUCGGUGGAGGAAGAUGCUUUGCUCUGUGGACCCGUGAGCAAGC
rnacentral:lncRNA from 1 species